AGAUUGAACGCUGGCGGCAGGCCUAACACAUGCAAGUCGAGCGGCAGCGGGAAGUAGUUUACUACUUUGCCGGCGAGCGGCGGACGGGUGAGUAAUGUCUGGGGAUCUGCCUGAUGGAGGGGGAUAACUACUGGAAACGGUAGCUAAUACCGCAUGACCUCGCAAGAGCAAAGUGGGGGACCUUAGGGCCUCACGCCAUCGGAUGAACCCAGAUGGGAUUAGCUAGUAGGUGGGGUAAUGGCUCACCUAGGCGACGAUCCCUAGCUGGUCUGAGAGGAUGACCAGCCACACUGGAACUGAGACACGGUCCAGACUCCUACGGGAGGCAGCAGUGGGGAAUAUUGCACAAUGGGCGCAAGCCUGAUGCAGCCAUGCCGCGUGUGUGAAGAAGGCCUUCGGGUUGUAAAGCACUUUCAGCGAGGAGGAAGGGGUUGAGUUUAAUACGCUCAAUCAUUGACGUUACUCGCAGAAGAAGCACCGGCUAACUCCGUGCCAGCAGCCGCGGUAAUACGGAGGGUGCAAGCGUUAAUCG
rnacentral:rRNA from 1 species